UUCAGCAGGGAAGAAGCGAAAGUGACGGUACCUGCAGAAGAAGCGCCGGCUAACUACGUGCCAGCAGCCGCGGUAAUACGUAGGGCGCGAGCGUUGUCCGGGAAUUAUUGGGCGUAAAGAGCUUGUAGGUGGCUUGUCGCGUCUGCCGUGAAAACCCGAGGCUCAACCUCGGGCGUGCGGUGGGUACGGGCAGGCUAGAGUGUGGUAGGGGAGACUGGAACUCCUGGUGUAGCGGUGAAAUGCGCAGAUAUCAGGAAGAACACCGAUGGCGAAGGCAGGUCUCUGGGCCAUUACUGACACUGAGAAGCGAAAGCAUGGGGAGCGAACAGGAUUAGAUACCCUGGUAGUCCAUGCCGUAAACGUUGGGCACUAGAUGUGGGGAACAUUCCACGUUUUCCGCGUCGUAGCUAACGCAUUAAGUGCCCCGCCUGGGGAGUACGGCCGCAAGGCUAAAACUCAAAGGAAUUGACGGGGGCCCGCACAAGCGGCGGAGCAUGCGGAUUAAUUCGAUGCAACGCGAAGAACCUUACCAAGGCUUGACAUGCACCGGACGACUCCAGAGAUGGGGUUUUCUUCGGACUGGUGCACAGGUGGUGCAUGGUUGUCGUCAGCUCGUGUCGUGAGAUGUUGGGUUAAGUCCCGCAACGAGCGCAACCCUCGUUCCAUGUUGCCAGCGCGUAAUGGCGGGGACUCAUGGGAGACUGCCGGGGUCAACUCGGAGGAAGGUGGGGACGACGUCAAAUCAUCAUGCCCCUUAUGUCUUGGGCUUCACGCAUGCUACAAUGGCCGGUACAAAGGGUUGCGAAACUGUGAGGUGGAGCGAAUCCCAAAAAGCCGGUCUCAGUUCGGAUUGGGGUCUGCAACUCGACCCCAUGAAGUCGGAGUCGCUAGUAAUCGCAGAUCAGCAACGCUGCGGUGAAUACGUUCCCGGGCCUUGUACACACCGCCCGUCAAGUCACGAAAGUCGGUAACACCCGAAGCCAGUGGCCCAUCCUC
rnacentral:rRNA from 1 species